rnacentral:rRNA from 1 species
UACAGAGGUCUCAAGCGUUGUUCGGAUUCAUUGGGCGUAAAGGGCUCGUAGGCGGUUUGUCACGUCGGGAGUGAAAUCAUCUGGCUUAACUGGGUGCUUGCUUUCGAUACGGGCAGACUAGAGGUAUGCAGGGGAGAACGGAAUUCCUGGUGUAGCGGUGAAAUGCGCAGAUAUCAGGAGGAACACCGGUGGCGAAGGCGGGAUCCUGGGCCAGUACUGACGCUGAGGAGCGAAAGCGUGGGGAGCAAACAGG